rnacentral:lncRNA from 1 species
GAGCUUCCGGUGCAGAUCCUGAGUUCCUAGAAGCCCUCCGGCAUUCUCCCAAUUCUGGAGAGAAACAUGAGCCCCCAGCCCAGGUUCCUGGCACACUGCAGGUGCUCCAAGAGCUUUGUGAAGGAGGAAGACGGACAAGGGACAAGCUGCAGACGAGUGAUCUCCCGAAGAUGGCUGCACCAUCUCCUGGGUGCCAGGACAGGAGAAGGCACACAUGUCAUCAUCUGGCUCCAGGAGGAAGGCCGCGGUCUGUCAGGACAGGGGUGCUGGGCCGGACAGGGGUGCUCGGCCAGAGUGGCCAUGCAGCCCGCUCCCUUCCAGCCACUUCCAGACCCACCAUCCGAUACAGGCGCCGAGGGAGCACACAGUUGUGGAAACAGAGUCUGCAAGGGCCCCCGCAGAGCACCUUCGUGUGUUCCCGUCACCCCUCAGAACAACUUCCGAGGGGGCUCUGUGAUGAUGGACAAGCCAGGACAGGGAAGCAGAGGUGCAGAGCAAGUCUACGCAGGCGGACGAGGGGCGGAGCGGGGAUUUGCCCGCAGGCAGUCUGACUUGGCCAUUUGCGGAUCUGGAUCUCUGCUCUGCCAAAUACACGCUGUCUACACUGGGUAAUUACUUGACCUCUCUAGGGCACACGGCUCUGUGAUAUCAAUGAUUGCAUGUUUACGGCACUUAGCACCUCAGAUGGCACAGAAACGCCGGGCACUGGCCAUCACUCUUCUGCCAGUUGGAAAUGAACUUCAGACGGUAGCUUCCGCUCGCGGACAGUGGCCACCUGCUCUCGUUCUCUGCUUCUUCCUCUGCCAUUCUCUGCUUCUUCCUCUGCCGCGGA